AAAAGAAACCCAAAAAAAAUGAAUGUCUAUUUGUUUUGUUUACCUCAUGGGCAGAACCUGUUCGAUGGAAUUCAUCCUAUCUAAAGGACCUUUAUAAGAGCUUUGAACCUCGUUUUCCUCGCAAUCUCCACCAUCCGAGGAUCUCCCAUAC